UACGUAGGUGGCAAGCGUUGUCCGGAUUUACUGGGCGUAAAGAGCGCGCAGGCGGUCGUUCAAGUCGCGUGUGAAAGCCCCCGGCUCAACUGGGGAGGGUCACGCGAUACUGAUCGACUCGAAGGCAGGAGAGGGAAGUGGAAUUCCCGGUGUAGUGGUGAAAUGCGUAGAUAUCGGGAGGAACAUCAGUGGCGAAGGCGGCCUGCUGGGCUGUUGCUGACGCUGAGGCGCGACAGCGUGGGGAGCAAACAGG
rnacentral:rRNA from 1 species